GAUGAACGCUGGCGGCGUGCCUAAUACAUGCAAGUCGAGCGAACGGACGAGAAGCUUGCUUCUCUGAUGUUAGCGGCGGACGGGUGAGUAACACGUGGAUAACCUACCUAUAAGACUGGGAUAACUUCGGGAAACCGUAGCUAAUACCGGAUAAUAUUUUGAACCGCAUGGUUCAAAAGUGAAAGACGGUCUUGCUGUCACUUAUAGAUGGAUCCGCGCUGCAUUAGCUAGUUGGUAAGGUAACGGCUUACCAAGGCAACGAUGCAUAGCCGACCUGAGAGGGUGAUCGGCCACACUGGAAAUGAGACACGGUCCAGACUCCUAAGGGAGGCAGCAGUAGGGAAUCUUCCGGAAUGGGCGAAAGCCUGACGGAGCAACGCCGCGUGAGUGAUGAAGGUCUUCGGAUCGUAAAACUCUGUUAUUAGGGAAGAACAUAUGUGUAAGUAACUGUGCACAUCUUGACGGUACCUAAUCAGAAAGCCACGGCUAACUACGUG
rnacentral:rRNA from 1 species